rnacentral:rRNA from 1 species
AGGACGAACGCUGGCGGCGUGCUUCAUACAUGCAAGUCGAACGAGAAAUUCACUUCGGUGGAUGGAAAGUGGCGGACGGGUGAGUAAAAUGUAGAGAAUCUGCCCUUUAGUGGGGGACAACAGUUGGAAACGACUGCUAAUACCCCAUAUGCGCGUAGUUGAGAUACUAUUCGUGAAAACUCCGGUGCUAAAGGAUGAGUCUGCAUCUGAUUAGCUAGUUGGUGGUGUAAUGGACUACCAAGGCGACGAUCAGUAGCUGGUUUGAGAGGAUGAUCAGCCACAAUGGGACUGAGACACGGCCCAUACUCCUACGGGAGGCAGCAGUAGGGAAUUUUGCGCAAUGGGGGAAACCCUGACGCCAGCAACGCCGCGUGAUUGAAUAAGCCCUUCGGGGUGUAAAGAUCUGUCAGUGGGGACGAAACUUGACGGUACCCACAGAGGAAGCAUCGGCUAACUCCGUGCCAGCCGCGGC